GCUGAAGAACGUAGCGAAAUGCGAUAAGUAAUGUGAAUUGCAGAAUUCAGUGAAUCAUCGAAUCUUUGAACGCACAUUGCGCCCGCCAGUAUUCUGGCGGGCAUGCCUGUCUGAGCGUCAUUUCAACCCUCAUGCCCCUAGGGCGUGGUGUUGGGGAUCGGCCAAAGCCCGCGAGGGACGGCCGGCCCCUAAAUCUAGUGGCGGACCCGUCGUGGCCUCCUCUGCGAAGUAGUGAUAUUCCGCAUCGGAGAGCGAUGAGCCCCUGCCGUUAAACCCCCAACUUUCCAAGGUUGACCUCAGAUCAGGUAGGAAUACCCGCUGAACUUAAGCAUAUCAAUAAGCGGAGGA
rnacentral:misc_RNA from 1 species